rnacentral:rRNA from 1 species
UACGUAGGGGCUAGCGUUAUCCGGAAUUACUGGGCGUAAAGGGUGCGUAGGUGGUUUCUUAAGUCAGAGGUGAAAGGCUACGGACUCAACCGUAGUAAGCCUUUGAAACUGGGAAACUUGAGUGCAGGAGAGGAGAGUGGAAUUCCUAGUGUAGCGGUGAAAUGCGUAGAUAUUAGGAGGAACACCAGUGGCGAAGGCGGCUUUCUGGACAGUAACUGACACUGAGGUACGAAAGUGUGGGGAGCAAACAGGAUUAGAUACCCCGGUAGUCCCUGAGCGGGCUGG